ACACAUGCAGUCGAGGGGUAACAUUGGUGCUUGCACCAGAUGACGACCGGCGCACGGGUGCGUAACGCGUAUACAAUCUGCCUUGUACUGGGGGAUAGCCUUUAGAAAUGAAGAUUAAGACCCCAUAGUAUUAUAGAUUCGCAUGAUGAAAUAAUUAAAGGUUACGGUACAAGAUGAGUAUGCGUCCUAUUAGCUAGAUGGAGUGGUAACGGCACCCCAUGGCGACGAUAGGUAGGGGCCCUGAGAGGGGGAUCCCCCACACUGGUACUGAGACACGGACCAGACUCCUACGGGAGGCAGCAGUGAGGAAUAUUGGACAAUGGGGGCAACCCUGAUCCAGCCAUGCCGCGUGCAGGAAGACUGCCCUAUGGGUUGUAAACUGCUUUUAUACGGGAAGAAACACCGCUACGUGUAGCGGCUUGACGGUACCGUAAGAAUAAGGAUCGGCUAACUCCGUGCCAGCAGCCGCGGUAAUACGGAGGAUCCAAGCGUUAUCCGGAAUCAUUGGGUUUAAAGGGUCCGUAGGUGGGCUGGUCAGUCAGAGGUGAAAUCCCACGGCUCAACCGUGGAACUGCCUUUGAUACUGCUAGUCUUGAGUUAUUAUGAAGUAGUUAGAAUAUGUAGUGUAGCGGUGAAAUGCAUAGAUAUUACAUAGAAUACCAAUUGCGAAGGCAGAUUACUAAUAAUAUACUGACACUGAUGGACGAAAGCGUAUGUAGCGAACGGGAUUAGAUACCCCGGUAGUCUACGCCGU
rnacentral:rRNA from 1 species